GUGAUUAGUGACAGAGUGAGGGAGGGGGUAACACAGUGACAGAGUUAGGGAGGGAGUAACUAGUGACAGAGAGAGGGAUGGGGUGACUAGUGACAGUCACCCCCCCCCUCACUCUGUCACCAGUCAUCCCCUUACUCUGUCACUAGUCACCCCUUCCCUCCCUCACUCUGCCACUAGUCACCCAUUCCCUCACUCUGUCACUAGUCUCCCAUUGCCUCCCUCUGUCACUAGUCUCCCCCUCUCCUUCCCUCUGUCACUAGUCAC